UGCAACUCGACUGCACGAAGCUGGAAUCGCUAGUAAUCGCGGAUCAGCACGCCGCGGUGAAUACGUUCCCGGGCCUUGUACACACCGCCCGUCACACCAUGGAAGUUGGGGGUGCCCAAAGCCGGCAGGGAAAUAUGCUGUCUAAGGCAAAACCAAUGACUGGGGUGAAGUCGUAACAAGGUACC
rnacentral:rRNA from 1 species